UGCACCACUGUACUCCAGCAAAGCACUGGGAUUACAGAUGUGAGCCACCACGAUGGGCACAGACAGACUUUGUCCGCCCCUAGAGCUAAGGGGGUCGGUCAGUCCAAAAGCUUCCAAGGGGUAGGUCAGAGCUGCUGACCCCUGCUUUUUUCUGCUUUUUCCCCCAGGGACACCACAUCAUUUGAAGCAUUCUUUCAAUCCAAGGCAUCGAAUUCUUGGACAGGAAAGGGCCAGGCCUGCCGACACCUGCUUCACCUGGCCAUUCAGCGGCACCCCCACUUCCGUGG
rnacentral:lncRNA from 1 species